rnacentral:rRNA from 1 species
UUAUACGUUUUAUAUAUAUAAUAUAUAAAAUAUGUAGUGCAAACGUGAGUAAAAAAUAUGAAUAUAAGAACUAUAAAUAAAGUUAAAUACUUUAUAAAUAUAUAUAUAUAUAUUAAUAUAUAAAUAUAUAUAAAAAGAAUAUUAUAUAAAAUAAUAUUUGUUUAUAGUCUAUCAUAUAAUGGUUUAGGUAGUAGGUAUUAUAAAGGUUAUACCUAGCCAACGAUCCAUAAUCAUUAAUUAAAGUUAUAAUGAUCACGUUGAUUUUGAAAUAUAAUCAAUAUCUAUAUGAUACAGCAGUGGGGAAUAUUGGACAAUGGUAUAAAUACUGAUCCAGUAACUUAUAAGAAUGAUAUAUAAUCAAUAAAUUAUAAUAAUAUAUAAUAUAUAAUAUAUAUAUAAAUUGAUUAAAAAUAAAGUUCAUAAAUAAUAAAAAUAAUGAUAUUAAUUAUCUUAUUAAAUAAUAAGAAAAUAUAUAUUUAUAUAUAUUUUUUAAUAAUCCUGGCCUAUAUUUGUGCCAGCAGUCGCGGUAAUACAAAGAGGGUAAGCAUUAAUCAUAA